UUAAAGUUGUUGCAGUUAAAAAGCUCGUAGUUGAAACUUGGGCCUGGCUGACCGGUCCGCCUCACCGCGUGCACUGGCUCGGCCGGGCCUUUCCUUCUGGGGAACCGCAUGGCCUUCAUUGGUCGUGUUGGGGAUCCAGGACUUUUACUUUGAAAAAAUUAGAGUGUUCAAAGCAGGCCUAUGCUCGAAUACAUUAGCAUGGAAUAAUA
rnacentral:rRNA from 1 species